UACGUAGGGGGCAAGCGUUGUCCGGAAUCAUUGGGCGUAAAGAGCGUGUAGGCGGCCCGGUAAGUCCGCUGUAAAAGUCAAAGGCUUAACCUUUGAAUGUCAGUGGAUACUGCCGGGCUAGAGUCCGGAAGAGGCGAGUGGAAUUCCCGGUGUAGCGGUGAAAUGCGCAGAUAUCGGGAGGAACACCAAUGGCGAAGGCAGCUCGCUGGGACGGUACUGACGCUGAGACGCGAAAGCGUGGGGAGCAAACAGG
rnacentral:rRNA from 1 species